AAAGUUACUCAAGAGCACAUGAAGGAUGCCUUGACGUAAGAAGCCGAAGAAGGACGUAGAAGGCUGCGAUAAGCCUCGGUGAGCUGUCUAUCAAGCUUUGACCCGGGGAUUUCCGAAUGGGGCAACCCGGCGGUGGUAAUACAUCGUCACCCCUAUCUGAAUCUAUAGGAUAGGAGGAGGGCACCACCCGAACUGAAACAUCUAAGUAGGGUGAGGAAGAGAGAGAAACCUCAAUUCCGUAAGUAGCGGCGAGCGAAAGCGGAAGAGCCAAAACCUUUUUAACUUUUGCGUGGCAACACGUAAAUAAGCUGGCAGGCGAAUGUUAACAAGGGGUUGUGAGAUACAAACGACCAUUACACAGCGCUGUCUGUAAAGAAAGCUCUGUGUAAUGCGACCAGCAACUGCCACAGGUCUGGGUAAGGUAAGAAAACGAAGUUGUUAGCGGAAGUGUCUGGAAAGGCACACCAAAGAGGGUGAAAGUCCCGUACUCGAAAACACUUUGUCCUUAUGUUUGUAUUCUCGAGUAGGUCGGGACACGUGAAACCCUGAUUGAAUCUAGGAGGACCACCUCCUAAGGCUAAAUACUUCUUACGAUCGAUAGUGAACCAGUACCGUGAGGGAAAGGCGAAAAGAACCCCGGAAGGGGAGUGAAAUAGAACCUGAAAUCAUGUGCUUACAAUGAGUCGGAGCAGCCUUGUGCUGUGACGGCGUGCUUUUUGUAGAACGAUCCAGCGAGUUAAUUGGUACAGCGUUAGGUUAAGCCAUCUGGCGAAGCCGUAGUGAAAGCGAGGGUUAAUAGCCCGCCAUAGUUGUGCCGAUUAGACCCGAAACCGGGUGACCUAACCAUGGGCAGGUUGAAGCGUGGGUAACACUACGUGGAGGACCGAACCAGGGCAUGUUGCAAAAUGCUUGGAUGACCUGUGGUUAGCGGAGAAAUUCCAAUCGAACUCGGAGAUAGCUGGUUCUCCGCGAAAUAGCUUUAGGGCUAGCGUCACGAACUACCUCUCGGGGGUAGAGCUCUGAUUGGGUCUGGGGCCCUCACGGGUACCCAUCCCUGUCAAACUGCGAAUACCGAGAGAGACUACCGUGGCAGUCAGUACAUCGGGGCUAAGCUCGAUGCACGAAAGGGAAACAGCCCAGACCAUCGUCUAAGGUCCCUAAAUAUACGCUCAGUGGGAAACGAUGUGGAGACGCAUAAACAACCAGGAUGUGGGCUUAGAAGCAGCCAUGCAUUUAAAGAGUGCGUAACAGCUCACUGGUCAAUGGUGACUCCGCGCGGAAAAUGUAACGGGGCUAAGCGUAUUACCGAAGACAUGGAUUUUAGUUUAACUAAAGUGGUAGCGGAGCGUUCCUCUUGCGCUGAAGCCGAGCCGAAAGGCCAGGUGGAGCGGGGGGAAGUGAGAAUGCUGGAAUGAGUAACCAUAAGGCAGGUGAGAAUCCUGCCCACCGUAAGAGCAAGGUUUCCUGGGCAACGAUCGUCGUCCCAGGGUCAGUCGGGCCUAAGCCGAGGCGAGUAGCGUAGGCGAUGGACAACCGGUUAAUAUUCCGGUACCGGCGAUAGUUUUGCGUACAGGUGCGCGGCAUGGUAGCCAGAGCAGACUUUGGAUAUGUCUGUCUAAGUGUGUAGUCUUCGGAUGAAGCACGAAUGAAAGACCGGUAAAACGGUUGAUUCAGGUGAGCCAAGCCGACCAGAAAAGCCUGUACGUGCCAAGCUAUAGCCGCCCGUACCGCAAACCAACACAGGUGCUCGGGUCGAGUAGACCAAGGUGUACGAGAGAACCCUUCUUAAGGAACUCGGCAAUACAGCGACCGUAACUUCGGGAUAAGGUCUGCCUAGCUUGCUAGGCCGCAGCGAAAGAGUCCAGGCGACUGUUUAUCAAAAACACAGGUCUGUGCUAACACGAAAGUGGAUGUAUACGGGCUGACGCCUGCCCGGUGCUGGAAGGUUAAGGGGAUGUGUGCAAGCACUGAACUGAAGCCCCAGUAAACGGCGGCGGUAACUAUAACCGUCCUAAGGUAGCGAAAUUCCUUGUCAGGUAAGUUCUGACCCGCACGAAUGGCGUAACGAUCUGGACACUGUCUCAAGAAGGGACUCGGUGAAAUUGCAAUGCCGGUAAAGAUGCCGGCUACCCGCACCAAGACGGAAAGACCCCGUGGAGCUUUACUACAACUUGGCAUUGGGCCGGGUUGCAGCAUGUGUAGGAUAGGUGGGAGGCUUUGAAGCGUAGGCGCUAGCUUACGUGGAGCCACCAGUGAAAUACCACCCUUGCUGUAAUCUUGUCCUAACCUGGACCGCAACAAGCGGACAAGGUAACAAGGCAAAUUGAAGAAAGCCCACAUCUUUACCGAUCUUGAUUCGCAGACCUAUAACUCGCUGUGAGAGGAAAUAGGUGAGUCAAGAUCAAAAAGUCGUGGUUAGUUUUUCUUCUAUGUUUUCGCAACAUUUGCUUUGUUAGAUUGUUUGCCCGUUUGUUCCGGUUCAGGAACAGUGUCUGGUGGGUAGUUUAACUGGGGCGGUUGCCUCCUAAAGAGUAACGGAGGCGUUCAAAGGUUGACUAGGUACGGAUGGAAAUCGUAUCGAUAGUGCAAGCGCAUAAGUCAGCUUGACUGCGAGGCCUACAAGCCGAGCAGGUGCGAAAGCAGGAGCUAGUGAUCCGCUGUCACACGAGGAAUUUAUUCCUCAGAAUGUGGAAUCGGCAGCGCUCAACGGACAAAAGCUACCCCGGGGAUAACAGGCUUAUAGCGCCCAAGCGUUCACAGCGACGGCGCUGUUUGGCACCUCGAUGUCGGCUCGUCUCAUCCUGGGGGUGAAGCAGCUCCCAAGGGUAUGGCUGUUCGCCAUUUAAAGAGGUACGCGAGCUGGGUUCAGAACGUCGUGAGACAGUUCGGUCCCUAUCUGGUGUGGGCGUAGGAAAUUUGCGGAGGUUUGCCCCUAGUACGAGAGGACCGGGGUGAACGAACCUCUGGUGUACCGGUUGUUCCACCAGGAGCAUCGCCGGGUAGCUAUGUUCGGUUGCGAUAAGUGCUGAAUGCAUAUAAGCACGAAGCCAUCUCCAAGAUAAGAUUUCCCCAUGAGACCCCAGAAAGACGAUCUGGUUGAUAGGCACUAGGUGUAAGCGUAGUAAUACGUUCAGCCGAGGUGUACUAAUCGGUCCAUCGACUUUUUUA
rnacentral:rRNA from 1 species